UACGGGGGGGGCGAGCGUUGUCCGAAGUUACUGGGCGUAAAGCGCGUGUAGGCGGGUUGUUAAGUCCGCUGUGAAAGCCCGGUGCUCAACGCCGGAGGGUCGGUGGAUACUGGCAGUCUUGAAGUGGCUAGGGGGAAAUGGAAUUCCUGGUGUAGCGGUGAAAUGCGCAGAUAUCAGGAAGAACACCCGUGGCUAAGGCGGCUCUCUAGUACGGUACUGACGCUGAGACGCGAAAGCGUGGGGAGCGAACAGG
rnacentral:rRNA from 1 species